rnacentral:rRNA from 1 species
CCAAUAGCGUAUAUUAAAGUUGUUGCAGUUAAAAAGCUCGUAGUUGAAUUUCGGGAUCAAGGGAUCGGUCAUGCCUUGGUAUGUACUGGUUUUAUUGGUUCUCACCUUCUAAAGAACCAUGAUGUCAUUCAUUUGAUGUUAUGGGGAAUUAGGACUGUUACCUUGAAAAAAUUAGAGUGUUUAAAGCAAGCUUACGCUUGAAUACAUUAGCAUGGAAUAAUGAAAUAGGACAUCAGAUUCUAUUUUGUUGGUUUCUAGGAUCGAUGUAAUGAUUAAUAGGGAUAGUUGGGGGCAUUAGUAUUCAAUUGUCAGAGGUGAAAUUCUUGGAUUUAUUGAAGACUAACUACUGCGAAAGCAUUUGCCAAGGAUGUUUUCAUUAAUCAAGAACGAAAGUUAGGGGAUCGAAGACGAUCAGAUACCGUCGUAGUCUUAACCAUAAACUAUGCCGACUAGGGAUCGGAUGAUGUUAAUUUUUUAAUGACUCAUUCGGCACCUUACG